rnacentral:rRNA from 1 species
ACACAUGCAGUCGAGCGGCAGCACGGGUACUUGUACCUGGUGGCGAGCGGCGGACGGGUGAGUAAUGCCUAGGAAUCUGCCUAGUAGUGGGGGAUAACGUCCGGAAACGGGCGCUAAUACCGCAUACGUCCUACGGGAGAAAGUGGGGGAUCUUCGGACCUCACGCUAUUAGAUGAGCCUAGGUCGGAUUAGCUAGUUGGUGAGGUAAUGGCUCACCAAGGCGACGAUCCGUAACUGGUCUGAGAGGAUGAUCAGUCACACUGGAACUGAGACACGGUCCAGACUCCUACGGGAGGCAGCAGUGGGGAAUAUUGGACAAUGGGCGAAAGCCUGAUCCAGCCAUGCCGCGUGUGUGAAGAAGGUCUUCGGAUUGUAAAGCACUUUAAGUUGGGAGGAAGGGCAGUUACCUAAUACGUGAUUGUUUUGACGUUACCGACAGAAUAAGCACCGGCUAACUCUGUGCCAGCAGCCGCGGUAAUACAGAGGGUGCAAGCGUUAAUCGGAAUUACUGGGCGUAAAGCGCGCGUAGGUGGUUUGUUAAGUUGGAUGUGAAAGCCCCGGGCUCAACCUGGGAACUGCAUCCAAAACUGGCAAGCUAGAGUAUGGUAGAGGGUGGUGGAAUUUCCUGUGUAGCGGUGAAAUGCGUAGAUAUAGGAAGGAACACCAGUGGCGAAUGCGACCACCUGGACUGAUACUGACACUGAGUGCGAAAGCGUGGGGAGCAAACAGGAUUAGAUACCCUGGUAGUCCACGCCGUAA